GGAAAAUUGGUGGAUUUUAAGUAAUCAAGCAAUCAAAGGUGGUGAGCUAUUUGAUAAGGAUAAAGAGAUUACACCAAAGACAGGGACUAGGAGUAUUUCCACUCCUGAUACUGCUCGAGAUAGCUAGUAGAUAGCUGAUUGCAUCAAGGACUUCAGUUAGCCUUGCAUCGACAAAAUUGUAGGUUCACAUACUCGUACCUUAUUGGUUAG